AAAUAAACAAACUCUUGUUGUUUAUUUUUUGACACAUGCCCCUAAAACUUCUUUUUAAAUAUGUCACUACUGAAGUGCACGUUCCGAAUAACGCAUGCCCUUGAUGAACAAAAAAGGCAC